rnacentral:rRNA from 1 species
CCUACGAGAGGCAGCAGUAGGGAAUAUUGCUCAAUGGGGGAAACCCUGAAGCAGCAACGCCGCGUGGAGGAUGAAGGUUUUAGGAUUGUAAACUCCUUUUGUUAGAGAAGAUUAUGACGGUAUCUAACGAAUAAGCACCGGCUAACUCCGUGCCAGCAGCCGCGGUAAUACGGAGGGUGCAAGCGUUACUCGGAAUCACUGGGCGUAAAGAGUGCGUAGGCGGGGUAAUAAGUCAGAUGUGAAAUCCUGUGGCUUAACUACAGAACUGCAUUUGAAACUGUUACUCUGGAGUGUGGGAGAGGUAGGUGGAAUUCUUGGUGUAGGGGUAAAAUCCGUAGAGAUCAAGAGGAAUACUCAUUGCGAAGGCGACCUGCUGGAACAUUACUGACGCUGAUGCACGAAAGCGUGGGGAGCAAACAGGAUUAGAUACCCCUGUAGUC